rnacentral:rRNA from 1 species
UACAUGCAAGUCGAACGAGUUCUGAUUAUUGAAAGGUGCUUGCAUCUUGAUUUAAUUUUGAACGAGUGGCGGACGGGUGAGUAACACGUGGGUAACCUGCCCUUAAGUGGGGGAUAACAUUUGGAAACAGAUGCUAAUACCGCAUAAAUCCAAGAACCGCAUGGUUCUUGGCUGAAAGAUGGCGUAAGCUAUCGCUUUUGGAUGGACCCGCGGCGUAUUAGCUAGUUGGUGAGGUAACGGCUCACCAAGGCAAUGAUACGUAGCCGAACUGAGAGGUUGAUCGGCCACAUUGGGACUGAGACACGGCCCAAACUCCUACGGGAGGCAGCAGUAGGGAAUCUUCCACAAUGGACGCAAGUCUGAUGGAGCAACGCCGCGUGAGUGAAGAAGGCUUUCGGGUCGUAAAACUCUGUUGUUGGAGAAGAAUGGUCGGCAGAGUAACUGUUGUCGGCGUGACGGUAUCCAACCAGAAAGCCACGGCUAACUACGUGCCAGCAGCCGCGGUAAUACGUAGGUGGCAAGCGUUAUCCGGAUUUAUUGGGCGUAAAGCGAGCGCAGGCGGUUUUUUAAGUCUGAUGUGAAAGCCCUCGGCUUAACCGAGGAAGUGCAUCGGAAACUGGGAAACUUGAGUGCAGAAGAGGACAGUGGAACUCCAUGUGUAGCGGUGAAAUGCGUAGAUAUAUGGAAGAACACCAGUGGCGAAGGCGGCUGUCUGGUCUGUAACUGACGCUGAGGCUCGAAAGCAUGGGUAGCGAACAGGAUUAGAUACCCUGGUAGUCCAUGCCGUAAACGAUGAAUGCUAGGUGUUGGAGGGUUUCCGCCCUUCAGUGCCGCAGCUAACGCAUUAAGCAUUCCGCCUGGGGAGUACGACCGCAAGGUUGAAACUCAAAGGAAUUGACGGGGGCCCGCACAAGCGGUGGAGCAUGUGGUUUAAUUCGAAGCAACGCGAAGAACCUUACCAGGUCUUGACAUCUUUUGAUCACCUGAGAGAUCAGGUUUCCCCUUCGGGGGCAAAAUGACAGGUGGUGCAUGGUUGUCGUCAGCUCGUGUCGUGAGAUGUUGGGUUAAGUCCCGCAACGAGCGCAACCCUUAUGACUAGUUGCCAGCAUUUAGUUGGGCACUCUAGUAAGACUGCCGGUGACAAACCGGAGGAAGGUGGGGAUGACGUCAAAUCAUCAUGCCCCUUAUGACCUGGGCUACACACGUGCUACAAUGGAUGGUACAACGAGUUGCGAGACCGCGAGGUCAAGCUAAUCUCUUAAAGCCAUUCUCAGUUCGGACUGUAGGCUGCAACUCGCCUACACGAAGUCGGAAUCGCUAGUAAUCGCGGAUCAGCACGCCGCGGUGAAUACGUUCCCGGGCCUUGUACACACCGCCCGUCACACCAUGAGAGUUUGUAACACCCGAAGCCGGUGGCGUAACCCUUUUAGGGAGCGAGCCGU